CUGAGCUCUGCUUUUUGUCUAAUUCUUCCUGGCCAUUCAGGUCUAACUUUUCAUUUGCUUACACAGGCAACAUCGUCUUGCCUUACCUUCUGAUCUAGUGGCGGCACGUAGCACAUGUGCUUCCUGAAGACUUGUCUGGGAGUAAUUUGAAGACAUCUAGCAGUUUGGUCUCAGCAGAAGCAAUUCAGGAGUCCCAGGCAAAUGGUUGCUGCGUAUGUUCAGAUCAACUCUACUGUAGACAUUCAGUAAAUCAGACAAAUUGGGCUUAUUGUGUAGGCCAUCUCUGCAGCAGACUGAUGUGGUGGACUGCUCAUGAGCUACUCGGCGCAGUCCGCAGCUUUCUGUGGAUUGCUGUGAUAAUCCUAAUCUUGGGUGAGUUGUGCUGACAGAUCGACACCCCUGACGGCCAGUUCAGACUGUUAAAYUUCCCUCAGUCAGGCUGAAGAGCAAUCUGAAGCAAUUAAAGCACCCAAGGGUCCCCAUCUCUUUGUAUGAUCAUUGACUCAUUUUGUAUGAUCAUAGCAUUGCUCCUCAAACAGUUGAGCUCCUUUCCUACAACCUGCGCGUCAGCAUGUACUGGACAAUCGUGAUGCCUCUUCUGUUUGCAGCUUUCCGUUGACAGGAAGAGACUUCUCCACAGGAAUUCUCUAGCAGAGCAAAGCCACCGCCUGCCCUCCUGUAUUCCUGUCCAAAUCUGCAGCUGUUCUGUUAAAAUCGAGAGACRCUUCCUCUUCAAGACUUCACAGAAAAAGCGAUGACGCCAGGACAGAGGGAGGCACUCAAGAUAAGUUCCCCAAAGAAGCAAUGUAACAGCUUUGAAGACUCUAAAUGCCAGAUAUCAAGAGAGAACACUUUAGAAGGGAAAGCUCUGAUCACUCAGCUUGGAUAGCUUUCUCCACAGUCCUGUUUCUUUCAUCAACCUCAGGAAGUAAUGUCUCGUGUGUGACUUUGGCAAGCUGUGUGGAGCACUUGGAAAUGAAUUCACCAUCACUGUGAGUUAUCGUGGAUACCUGGGAAGAUGAGAACAACAGAGCGAGUUGUUGAUAUUCCCCAGCCUCUAGCAAUUUGCAACCCACAGUACCAGAGGUAGCAUCUUUUUUGUAUUUAAUAACCCUCAAUGGACUCUUUUUCCAAGAAUUUGUCUCAUUGCCUUUUGACCCUUGGUGACCUUUAGCACCCCGUUAGUAUUGGAUGCUAGGAAAAUCCUUUUAAACGGGAGGUAUGUGUCACAUGUCCCAUGUCUGUGAGAAGAGCAUCUGAGCUGGCUGUGACAAUGCAAUGUAGCAGCCUUUCUUAUUAAUGCAAACUGGAAACUAGUGGGUGGUUUUAUGCAUUUGUUGCGUCCUUGUAGGGGAGAUGUUUUUGCUGGGGCUGUAGGAAGU
rnacentral:lncRNA from 1 species